rnacentral:rRNA from 1 species
UACGGAGGGUGCAAGCAUUAAUCGGAUUUAUUGGGCGUAAAGGGCGCGUAGGCGGGAUGGCAAGUCAGAUGUGAAAUCCCGGGGCUCAACCUUCAGAGGUCGACCGAAACCAUCUGGCUAGAGUCCGGGAGAGGAGAGUGGAAUUCCUGGUGUAGCGGUGAAAUGCGCAGAUAUCAGGAAGAACACCCGUGGCGAAAGCGGCUCUCUGGAACGGUACUGACGCUGAGACGCGAAAGCGUGGGGAGCGAACAGG